GAGUCUCUAUUGGUGGGCUUGUGUCUUGGAUUGUGACUUUGUGUGGAUGGGAUGAUUUGCUUCUGUCACGAGAGGAAUAAGAAAAAUGUUCUCUUAUUGGAAAGUCUUACGAAGAUUUAUUGAUAGAAAAAAUAAACAAUAUUUUGCCUCAAAAAUCAACUUAUCUUAGUUGUGUGAAAAUUCUUCUAAAACGUAUGAGUGGGGUUACGAGAUAAUAUAGAAAAGUAAAGCGUCACAUGGGGACAUUAUGAUUAUUUGGUAUAACAUUAUGAACAUGAUUUGUGGCAUGACAUUCGCUGGUCUCACCUUCUAAAUAUUCUCUAAUUUUCUAGUGUAUAUUUUUAGGAAAAAAUUAAAGCUGUCAACAUCCAAAUUUAAAGAAAAGAAACAAAACAUACACACACAAGCUUGUGAUAAAAUUGUAACUCUCCCUUGGUCCUAUCGCCCCCAUUCUCCUACAGCUUCGGUCCAGUCAAUUUUGGCUUUUUUCUCAACUUGUAUUUGUUAUAUAGAAAAGUGCUCUCUUUUCUUUUUUAAUUGAGAACACCAUUACAUCGUAAACACAAGGUUUGUUGUAUAUUUAUCGGAAACUGGUAUGUUUGAAAGAU